UCGUUCUAUGGCAUUCACAUUUCUUGUCGCUCUCUCCAUCAGGGUCUUUACUCCUAAACCCUCAAAAUCGUUUCUUUUUUGGUUUCUCCCCCAAUUUUUUUGAUUCUUUUGCGACUCUCGUAAUUGAAUGAACAGAGCAGCGGAUUGUUGAAGUAGUCGACGACCCUUUCAAUCUCUGCCAGCACUCAGAACGACGAGUCAGUCACUUGUAGAAGGCUGGUCAAGUUACAUAAAUGUUGUAACUUUUUAGUGUUUCGGUAUCCGCAUUUUCCAAUUCCUUCUCCUCUGUUGCUGGUCCAAAAGGAAAGAUUUUUACAGUCUUUUAUCUCUGGGUUGAUUCAUUGGGUUUAACCACAAAACUAGCAGAAUCGAUCUCUCUAAGAAAGUUAGCUUUGACGACUAAGGUCAAUCCUGAUUCUGUUCUGAAGCUAUGGGUUCACAGAUUCUCAAAUCUCCAAUGUCAUUACGAAUUAAUUACCCACUAUUGCUUGUAGCAGAUGUUGAGAAAUCACACUUGCUCCUAAGCUCCAGUUUCUGCUGUGCUGUCCAGAGGAGCUUCAAGCUCUGAGCUCGCUGAGAUUGUUUCAAAAGUUGCUAAAAUCUUGGGGAAGAGAGGAGGCAAAACCAUUAGCGUAUACUAGGAUUCCGUCAAAAGAGUUUAUAGAAGCCGAUAAGGGUUCCAAGUUGUGUCAUUCUUUGCCACAGGGUAGUAAGUCAGGAGAAUAAAAAUCAGGAAUGUAAUGGCUCUGAGAGAAUUGGGUGUCCCUCAGAGGAUGUUAUUUCAUCUGUUCAUCUCUGAUCAAGCACUUUCCUCCUUGCAUUGGAUUAUCUGCGGAGAUGGUGAAUAGAAGGUUGAGUUUCUGGUGAAGAAGAUGAACUGGCCACGAAAGUUUCUGGUUUCAAACCCUUCGGUACUUGGAUACAACCUGGAGAAGAGGACUGUUCCUAGGUGUAACGUAAUCAAAGCUCUCAUGUCCAAAGGACUGCUCGGAGACACAGGAAUCAAACUCCCUUCAAUCGGGUCUGUUUUUUUGAAGAGUACGGAUGAAAAGUUUUUAAAUAUGUUUGUGAUGAUGCACGUUGACAAGGAGCUUGUGGACGAGUUGAUGGCUAUCUUCAAUGGAGGUCGUGUUUCAUAUAGCAGGAAGCGUCAAGGAUUUUGCUAUUACUCAUCAUAGCCUGAAACCUUAAUUUAAAACUUUUGUAAUCUCAAGUUGAUCCGGUUUCUGUCUAUAUGUUGGAGUUCGUUCUGUAAUUUGGCUCGUCUAUUGUUAGAUUUCAGUAUGAUCUCUCAGUGUAAUUUGGAUAAUCUAUUCUUCAUUUCACCAAAAGUUUAUUUCUUAAGAGUUUUCUUUCA